UCUAAAAUAACAGCGGUAAUAGGUUUCAUUCAAUAUAAUACAUUUCAUUCUAUAAUUUAAAAUGAAUACGAGAAUGUUCUUGAUCGUUCUGUUUUCAAUACUUCUGGGGGUAUUAGGGGAGACCGAGCUGAAUCGAAACAAAGACAAUGCAGUCGCAGUUGGCAUACCGACUGAGUGUCUAGUUAAGGCGGCUACAAGUUUUGGGACCUGCCUCAUGUCUGAACAACAGCUGGACAGCUCUGGACCUGCACUUGAGAGCAAAAUAUUCUCUUGUAUUGGAAGCUUCGCGUGUGAUUUGAUUCAUUGUUUUACAGGCUAGCGACUUGCGGUUCACCUUCAAUUUCAAAAGGACUAAGUUUUCAAAGCACCGAAAUUUUACAACAAUGUCUAAUUAAAAACAAAAUAUAAUUAUGUCAAUUAUUUUUAAAAUACUGGGUCAAUGUGGAUAAGACCGGCAUAUAACAUUUAUUACAGGGAAGGCCGUUUAUCUGUAUGUACCUACAUCGCUCAGACGCAGUCAGAAAGAAAAGCUUCACUUCACUCACUCAUUCUGCUCUAGACCUGUAAGUAGAGUAUCUAUACAAACAAACGCAAGAGUUAAAAGCGACGAAAGAAUUGUAGACGGUCUUCUCCACAUUGACCUUCAGAUACUUAGUCAUGAGAGGAUUAUCCAUAAUUAGUAGGUAUAUCAAGUCAUCCGAUUUUUACCGAUCAUUGAACAUUUGGCCGCUCACUGAAUUAGGUAUAGGUACAAGCAAAUUAAUGCCAAACCCACUGCCCGAAGCCAACGAGACGUAAAAAAUUUUUACCAGCGUAUGUUAAAAAAUUAAACGCUU